rnacentral:misc_RNA from 1 species
UCCGAGUUGACCCCGGCAGUCUCCCACGAGUCCCCGGCAUGUCAAGUCCGGGUAAGGUUCUUCGCGUUGCAUCGAAUUAAACCACACGCUCCGCUGCUUGUGCGGGCCCCCGUCAAUUCCUUUGAGUUUUAGCCUUGCGGCCGUAGUCCCCAGGCGGGGUGCUUAGUGCGUUAGCGACGGCACCGGAGGGGUCGAUACCCCCGACACCUAGCACCCAUCGUUUACAGCGUGGACUAC